rnacentral:lncRNA from 1 species
AAAAGUUUAAUACAUUAAGUAUUCCAAAAAGCUAUUACAUCAAAUGAGUGGCUUUGUGGGCAUACUUCCAACAUAUUGUUCCUCCUCCUCAAAUUGCAACUUUUUAUCCUCAGUUGAGGCUGAUUUAGAUGAUUGUGGGGCUCUUCUAAUUUUUUUUCCACUUCGCAACAUGAUUGCUUUGGCAGAUUCAAAUCCUCCUUUUGGGUUGACAAUAGUUGAACUAGGCAACUUGCCUUGCUCUCUUAAUUGGCCUAGGAAAUCUGCAAUCUACCCUACUUGCUUCUCUAAUUCAUCCACCUUUUUGUCUCUAGUUUGCAUUCCAUGCGCCAUAGAAGUUAGUAAUUGAAAAAAUUGAUCAUUAUGUAUGGACGAACCUGAUUUGGAUUGGGCAGGUUGUGCUUGAGGUUGUGUGGGUGCAUACGGCCUUUGGUAGAAUCUCGGAAGUUGCUGCCUAAAUGCGCUUUGUUGUUGGGGCACCUUCCAUUUGAAAUUUGGAUGAUCUUUCCAACCGGGAUUGUAUGUAUUAGAGAAAUGAUCACUCCUUGGUUGGUUUUGGCUCCCAUAACCCAUGACAUUGGCAGAUUCCUACCCUACCCUCCGUUCUCGAUCAAUUGAGGGCACUUAUUCGUGAGAUGUCCAUUCAUUGAGCACAUGCCACAAACAGCCACACUUUGUACCUUUGGUAUUUCAACCACCUACGAAAGAAGAAAAGUAAGAUUAACCAUUUGAUUUUGAAGUUCGGAAAUAGCACUUACCUCAUUAACUUUUUGCUGCUGUGGUAUGUCUCUUUGACCAACGCCUUCAUAUUGUUGAGCAUUCAAAGCUCGGUUGGCAAUGAGAGUCUUGGUAGCCAUGGGUGUUUUGUCCACUAAAGCUCAUCCCGCUGAGGCAUCUAGCAUUUGGCGUUCAAUUGGUAGAAGGUGAUAGGAGCAUAUUUAUGCGACUUAAUUAACAUGUUUUCUUGCAUUUACUUAGUUAGUUAUUGCUUAUAAGAGUGUUUUAAGCUAUUUUCGUGUGUUUGUAGGUCCUAAUAACUAAGUUGGAAAGAAAGUGCAUUUUGGUGCAAUUUGGAGCAAUUUUGGGCCAAAAUGGAUUGCAUGCAUAUG